rnacentral:tRNA from 1 species
GGGGUUGUGGCUCAAUGGUAGAGCACAAGCCUAGCAUGUAUGAGGCACUGGGUUUGAUUCUCAGCACCA